CCUUUGGUUUCCUUCAUUUGGCAUUUACCACUGCUCUUUCCUUCGGCUUUUCCAUUUUCUACUGCCCCAAUUCUCCUAUGUUCAACUAUUAUUUUCCUCAAUUUCAUUGUGGUUAGACUUGCUUCCCUAUGGUUGCUUCGACUAUUCUACAUUUGUGGAUAAUAAGCAGCAGCUUGCAGGUACAUCUUAUGGCAACAAGAAUAGAAUUGAUACAAGAUAUUGGAAUAAUGGUCUCAUAUGCCACAUGGAAGAUCAAAUUUACCUCUCCACAUUUAAUGUAUUUUGAUUGAAGGUUCAUUAUACGUGUACUACAGUUGACACUCUUUAAGGAAGAAUGCAGGGAAAUAGACAAAAACAUUCUACAAGGUAAUAAACUAGCACAAAUAGUCUUAAUUUCAUUUGCUUCUCUUCAAAGGAAGUUUGAUUUUCCCAGAAUAUAUCUUAAUUUUUUGUUUGACUCUUUGGAUGAAGAUCAAAU